rnacentral:ncRNA from 1 species
ACAGUACAAACUGAGCAGACCGUAACAUUCUUGUUAUGGGGUCGGGUCACAAUGUGACAGUGGAACUUGCAUCCAUGGGACAGU